UUGAGUUAUGUUAUUACAGACCAGACUAAAAGUGAGUGCAGAGAAGUAAUAUUAUACAAACCAAGGGAGGCACAAACUCCUCCCGACAAGCUAAAAGCAAAAGAUCCUAAGUGGAGGACCGAGUUCUCCCGCACUUCAGUCUUGUUUUUCCUCGUUUGGUACCACCUUGGAGCAAAAGCAACAAAAGUUUGUCGCUUCCUCACCUAAAAACAACAAAGGGAUAGACCCUGAGUAUGGAAUACUCAGCAAGUCUUACCCGACUAAGGAAAAGACUCUCAAGGGUAUGCUGGAUAAAUAGGAGUUAAGGAGAGGCUUUAGCAAAAAUCAACUUAUACUUUUGCAGAAAUAGCUUACUAAAGUGAGUCCUUACUUUCAGUCUUUUAACGCCAUGUUAAGUAUUAAUAGACUCUAUUUGCAUCUAGUCUAAUUUCACAUCACAUCAAGACAACAUCAUUUUUAUCCAUCGUGUUCACAUCCUGACUUUAGGUUGCAGGGAAGUGGCCAAGUCUUCAUAACCGCGAAGGUACGGCGAUCCGAAUCGAUUAUACUCAGCUGAGGAUCUCCAAUCACACGACAUAUGUAGCACUUAACCCUUGCAUAUGUCAACCCGCCACCGGGGUUCUUAAGACCGGAUCAGGUUCACGCAAACCGAGAGCACAGAUACACCACCGUCCAGCCUCUUGCCACGGAGGGUACACGCUACUCUCGCCACCGCUCCACGCCCAUUUCGUGUUGUCUUAUUCCGGCCUUAGUCUACCCGAGGCAAGGCUUACCCAUGACGAGGCAUGUGACCAGUUAAAGGGUCCUCGGUCAGCACGCCUACAUACGCGUUAAUCCUUAACCAACUUGGGUAGAACAUCACCUGUUCCUACCCCAAGUCUCAAUUUAAGUAUUUCCAUCCUUAGGAUUGUGUCUGUUCCUUAGGAUGAAAGAGCAUCACGGGGAACUUUGCAGUAAGAUCCCACUAUUGCUCCAAAUGAAAAUAUUCUUGCAGGUAGAAGCCAUCCUCUCCAUGGUUAAAUUGAGGACAACUUCUAUCCACAAGAUCUAAGCAAGGCUAAGCAUUUUUGUAAAUCAUAUUUUGAUACUUCACCGAAGUAUCUAUAAAGGUAUGGAUAUCAAGGAAAAGCAAUGCAUCAAAGGGUUUCAAGUAACUCCUAUGAACCUAAUGCACAUUUCACUAGACUUAAGUGUGCAAAAAGUAUUUAAAACACAAGGAAAGGGGUUGCAUGCACCGGGGCUUGCCUUCGUUCACAGGUGAAUCAGGCUCAGAUCCACAGAUAUCAAAGUAGAAAUGAUUCCCGGCCUGAGACUCCGAAGGUGGUGGUGGUGUCUCCUCUUCAGUUACUUCUAUCUCUUCUUCUCGUUCUAAUCAUAACCAUACAUAAGUAUAAGAAUGGAUGCCAUGGGAUGCUCAUGAGGAUGCAAAGAUAGCAUAAAUUUAUUAUUUAUGUCUUGAAUACAACUUUCCUUCACGGAGUUCCGGGAACUUAGGGUUUCCGGAGUCGGUAAAGGAGUUCAUAGGGCAGGGGGGGUGUUUUUGGGUUUGGUGAUCAAACAAGGUCCAAAUCAAUUCAAACCCUACCCAAGGCUUUUAAAUAUUAUGAGGAACUCAUAUAAAAAUUUUGAGCAUUUUUAGAAUUACCAUUUGUUUUCUAAAAAUCCAUAACCAACAUUUUUAACUACUUUAAAUACUCUAAAAUUUCUUACUUCUACUAAAAAUCACAAACUUAUUUUUAUUAAAUACUAUGGAAAAUAACAAACCUAGGAAAAUUAGUUUCACAAUUUUAUCAUUUUUCUAUAAUUUUCUACAUAUUUCUAAAGCUCUGCUGGAAAAAGAAAAAGAAAAGGAUUGAAUAGAACUGGGCCGGAUUCAGCCCAGCGGCCCAGGUCCAGGGAGGAAAAGCGCCCGCGCGCAUCCGCGCCCUGGCUGUUUUGCACAAAGGGACUCGAGGUUUUUACUAUCUGCGAACGGGUUUUCUUACUGUUUAACAAGGUCACUGACACUUUGCAAGAAGGUCCCUCGAAUUCUAUCCCUUUACAUUUCCCGGUCCCCGACGGCGUUCAAGUGCGGCUGAGCACCGGCGAGCCACUGCACCGGCCGAUUGAGGCUAAGACAGGCGCUAAGCUUCGGCCGAGACCAAAUCUGAGUCCCCAUGAAUGUUUCCCCCAACUUAAUUUGGCUCAUGAUUGACUAAGGAGCUCUGGCCACGGUGGCCGUGAGCAGCGCGGCAGGACCGACGCGUUCCCGGCGACCAGAGGCUACUCCGUGCAAAUUAAGGGUUUGGCAGGCAUCACAACGAUGUGAGAGUGCUCAAACGAGAAAGCAGGGGACGGGGACUGACCGGAAAAGGGCUAACUGCGGUGAAGCCGGUUUCACGAUGUUCUUCAACCGGUUUGGGGGAAGUCCCAAAUUCGCGUUCUCUGGUGGGGGUUUCGGGAUGCAGGUGGGUGCAGUAGGUGCUUGGAUGCAUGGCGGAGAUGGGGGUACGCUCAAUUUAUAGAGCCCGCAGGCGGUGGUGCUCAAUUUGGCCGAGCCGUGUUGGCGGCCGGAGGUAAAGAUGAAGGCGGCGCGGUGAAUACGUGGCUACUGCCGUGGCAAGCUCACCGGCGACGAUUAGAUGGCCGUAGCGAGUCACGGUGUUGCGGUGGAAAGCAAAACCACGUGGCGUGAGGCCGGGAAGCGGCAGUUCACCGGCGAGCCUAUCGCUCCACCGCAAAGCAGAGGGGGAGACACGGGAGGGGUCACCGGAGUGGAGCCCAGCUCACGGCGGUGAAGAUUCUUACUGGGUGAUGUUUAUCUGGUGUCCACGGCGCACGAAUCACGGCGAGCGGUAAUCGACGGCGAUGGACCACCGGCGGCGAGCAGGGAACGAAAUCUUCUUCAGUUACCCUUUACUGUACCAUGGCAAUCACCUAUUCAGAGUGUCUGACAGCCAAUAUUUAGGCCCAAUUUGCUCACGAAUCUUUAUGGUAACAUACUUAAAGUUCUGCAGCAAUAGUGGAGUGCUACAAACCAGCUAUAACUUUGCUACAUGGUGUUGUCACAAAAAGUCACUGAAUCAUGUCUGAAAUUGGGUUUGAAGUUGGUGGUAAUCCACUGUUAGUCUGAAAAUUCAGACCAAACCAGUCUGACAGCCUGACUUCAGGCUUAAAUAUCUCUGGAUUUUUCUCAACAAGUGAGCUUACAACCUUAAGCAAAGUUGUUCUCCAUUAAUUGGUCUACAAACUUGUUGUGGUCACUUUGGGCAAAAUCCUUAUAUUUUAAAAGAUACAGGGCUCCAAAGUUGAACCAACUCAACUGAAUUUCAGACUUAGGCUCUAUAGUGCUUAAAAGGUGAUUUUUGCAAAUAAGCCCAAAACUUAGGGUUUAACUUGCAAAUUCACAUAUUUGUGAACCAAAUGACUUUACAUGUUUAAACAUAGUAGUUUUUACACUUUAGUCCAAAGGUUCACCACUUUUGCACAUAAGCCCCUAGGGUUUAGUUUUAGGGUUUUUCCAGGGUUCCAAUUAGGGUUUCUGGUAUCCCAGGGGUAUAAAUGUGAUUCAACUUUAUUUUUGUGGUCAUUUUAUGACUUUUACCCUAAAGCUUUAGGUUUUCUUAACUUGGGUUAAGUUUUACCCCUUUAACCACUAUUUAGGGUUAAGUCCUUUAACCAGGGUUCUAUUUGCAAAAACAUUAAAACAAUACAACUUGUUUGAAAUUUUUGCCUAGUGAAUGCACUCUAGGUGUGUCAAACAUAUGCAAUGUCAAUGCUUAUGAUGCCAUGCUCAAGUUUUAUUUAUAGUAACACCAGGGGUGUUACAUCCUUCCCCCCAUAAAAGAAUCUCGUCCCGAGAUUAAAAAUCCUAGGGUAGGUAAUGGUAAAGGAAACACAUCACAUUUUUAUUUCCUUAAUUUUGGUACAAGGCAGGGGUAAUGUGGGGGUUACUUCUUUAUUACAACAGCUAUACAGGCUUUACAAUUUACAUGAGGCUAGAAAGCCUGGGAAAUUCUUAUCUAAAAAGUCUUGGGUUUCCCAUGUAGCCUCAUCUUCCGAAUGCUGGUUCCACUGUAUCUUGUAGAACUUGAGAGUUUUUCUUCGGGUAACCCUGUCCUUUUGAUCCAGAACUCGAAUAGGAUGUUCCGAGUAUGUUAAAUCUGGUUCCAGGACAACAUCAGUCACUUCAAUGGUUCGAUCAGGAACCCGAAGACAAUGUUUCGGGGAGCUGAAGUCGGUAUGCCACUGGUCCACAUUGCUCAAGUACCAGGAAUGGACCAAUGUACCUGGGUGCAAGUUUCCCUUUAACCCCGAAACGCGAUACACCCUUCAUUGGUGAAACUUUUAAGUAGACAUAAUCGUCUACCAGAAAGCAUAAGGGUUGUCGUCGUCGGUCUGCAUAACUCUUUUGUCGAGUCUGAGCUUUCUUCAUAUUAUGAAUAAUUCUCUGAACCUUUUCUUCGACCUCUUUCACCAUAUCAGGUCUAAAGAAGUAUCUUUCUCUAGGUUCAGACCAAUUUAGCGGAGUUCGACACCGUCGCCCAUACAAAGCUUCAAAAGGUGCCAUCUUGAUACUUUCUUGAUAACUGUUAUUGUAUGAAAACUCUGCUAGGGGCAAACAUUCAUCCCAUUUUUGCGAGAAGUCCAGGACACAUGCCCGCAGCAUAUCCUCAAGUAUCUGAUUAACUCUCUCAGUUUGUCCACUGGUUUGAGGAUGAUAGGCCGAACUGUGGAGCAAUUUGGUACCCAAGGAUUUAUGAAGUUCUUCCCAAAACUUGGAUACGAACUGAGGUCCACGAUCCGACACUAUGGUCUUUGGAAUACCAUGCAAACUGAGAAUACAGCUGAUAUAUAAUGCUGCAUAAGUGGCUACUGUAUAUUUGGCCCUGACGGGUAAGAAGUGGGCAAUCUUUGUGAGUCGAUCAACGAUAACCCAAAUAGAAUCAUACCCUUUGGCCGUCCUGGGCAGUCCCACAAUAAAGUCCAUACUGAUGUCUUCCCAUUUCCAUGUUGGGAUUGGCAAAGAUUGUAAUGGACCAGCAGUUUUCAUGUGUAUGGCCUUGACACGUCUGCAAGUGUCACAUCUAGCCACAUAGCGUGCAAUUUCAAUUUUCAUCUUCGUCCACCAAUAAUGUUGCUUUAAAUCUUGAUACAUCUUAGUGCUUCCGGGAUGAAUAGAAUAACGACUAAGAUGUGCUUCAUCAAGAAUUUGCUGGCGGAGCUCUUCGUUCUUUGGCACUACUAUGCGGUUUUUAAACCAUAUCACACCUUGAUCGUCUUCCUUGAAACAUUUGGCUACUCCAGCCCUUAUCUUUUCUCGUAUGUGCUUCAUACCCAGAUUAUCCUUUUGAGCAUCAAUUAUUCUUUGCAAAAUGAUUGACUCAAGCUUUAACUGAUUCAGAGUCCCUUAUUGGAUGAUCCCCAGGUUUAGCUUUUCCAUUUCUUGACACAAAGUGUUGUCGGAGGUCUUCGCCAUAAGACAGUGGCAGGAAGUCUUACGACUCAGCGCAUCCGCCACCACAUUGGCUUUACCUGGGUGAUAAUGGAUCUCCAGUUCAUAGUCUUUAAUGAGCUCAAGCCAUCGUCUUUGCCUCAUAUUUAACUCUGACUGGGUGAAGAUGUACUUCAAACUUUUAUGAUCUGUAUAUAUGUGACAGACAUUACCCAGCAGAUAGUGACGCCAAAUCUUCAGGGCAUGAACCACAGCAGCUAGCUCCAGAUCAUGAGUUGGAUAGUGCUCCUCAUGUCGGCGCAACUGCCUUGAGGCAUACGCAAUCACUCGGCCCUCUUGCAUCAGUACACAGCCGAGCCCACUGCCAGAUGCAUCACAAUAAACGUCAAAAGGCUUAGUGAUGUCCGGUUGAGCCAAUACCGGAGCAGUGGUCAAUAGUGUCUUCAAUUGCUCAAAGGCUUCAUUACACUUAGAAGACCAAUUGAACUUAAUGUCAUUCUUUAAUAAACUUGUGAUUGGCUUCACAAGCUUAGAAAAAUCUGGUAUGAAUCUGCGAUAAUACCCAGCUAGUCCAAGAAAACUCCGGACUUGGUGAACAGUUGUUGGGGGUUUCCACUCCAGAAUAUCUUUGACCUUGCUAGGAUCUACCGCAAUUCCUUUAGCCGAUAACACGUGCCCCAAAAAUUGAAUUUCUUCCAGCCAGAACGCGCACUUACUGAACUUGGCAUAUAGCUGAUGUUCCCUGAGGCGCGUCAAUACAAUCCGUAGAUGCUGAGCAUGGUCCUCUUCAUUCUUAGAAUAUAUCAAGAUAUCGUCGAUGAAGACUACCACGAAUUUGUCCAACUCAGGCAUGAACACCGAGUUCAUCAAGUAAGUGAAGUGGGCAGGAGCAUUUGUGAGCCCGAAAGACAUUACCAAGUAUUCAAACAAUCCAUACCGCGUAGUAAACGCGGUUUUCGGUAUAUCCUCGGGCCGAAUACGGAUUUGAUGAUAGCCCGACCUGAGAUCAAUUUUGGAAAAUACCCUCGCCCCAGUCAGUUGAUCAAAUAAGAUGUCGAUCCUUGGAAGAGGGUACUUAUUCUUGAUAGUGACCUCAUUCAGGGGUCGAUAAUCCACGCACAUUCGCAAGGUUUGAUCCUUCUUCUUAACAAAAAUGGCGGGACAACCCCAUGGGGACGAGCUUGGCUGGAUGAAUCCCUUAUUUAGUAGAUCUUGUAAUUGAAUCUUCAGUUCCGCUAAUUCAUUAGGGGGCAUGCGGUACGAUCUUCGGGAGAUGGGAGCCGUACCGGGCUUUAGCUCAAUUACGAAUUCUACAUCUCUUUCAGGGGGCAGUCCAGGCAAAUCUUCCGAAAAUACAUCUGGAAACUCACAUACUACCGGAAUGUUCUUGAUUUCCGGUACAAUGGCUUCAUAGACUCUACCAGAAGCUUUGGCCGGAUUGGUUGCGGGGAGAGUCAAAAGAAUCUCUUCUUGGUUAUAGCUCAACCUGACGGUUCUGAGUUCAGUGUUGAGAAUUGCCUUGUGUUGGGUUAACCAAUUCAUACCCAAAAUUACAUCUAUAUCCUGGCCCUUUAGAACAAUCAUGUUAGCAGGAAAGUUCCGUCAGGCCAUUGUUAUUGGCACCCCAUAGGCCACUUCUCUAGUAUAAAUGUGUCCCCCAGGUGAAUGAAUUUUAAAUCCCUCCUUUGAUUCAUGGUAUGCAAUAUGAUGUUGUUCCACAAACUUCUUGCUAAUGAAUGUAUGUGAAGCACCAGAAUCAAAAAGAAUAAUUGCUGGGUGACUGGCCACGGGAAACGUACCCAUCAUCACCGGCUCUCCUUCCGGUGUAGUAGCCACUUGAGUGUAAUAUACACGCCCCGUUUUCUUCGUAUUCUUCCCCAUAGCAUUUCCUUUAGGCUGAGCUGAUUUCCCAGAUCCUUGCGAAGCAUUAGAUUGAUUUUGCCUAGGAUAUGGGCAGUCUUUGAUAAAAUGUCCCGACUUGCCGCAAUUAAAACACCCAGUUGAAGAACUAGGCAAGGCAGGGAAUCGAGUGCCUGGGGCACCCGGCUGUUUUGGGGUAGUGGGGGUAUUGUUGGGGCGGAUAAUGAUAGGCUGUUUGAAGGGGAAUGAGGGUGGACGAGAAAAAGGGCGAUUUUGGCUUGAAGGUCGGAUCACAAACCGUGGUUUCUUCGCCUGACCCUGAUUAGGCCUCUGACCACCGAAUCCCUUAUUCUUCCCAGAAUUUGUGUAUUUUGCUUCAACAGAUAAGGCUGUGCUGACAGCCUUUCCAUACGUGAGAUCUAUGCAUGUGGCCAUUUUCCUUUGUAGCCGAUCAUUUAGUCCCCGCAUAAAACAGUUCUUCUUCUUUAAAUCAGUAUUCACCUGGUCGAUGGCAUACUGCGACAGGUGGUUGAAUUUGUUGAGAUAUUGGUUGACGUUAUCUCCACCUUGUUGUAACUUCAUAAAUUCCUCUUGUUUCAUAUGCAGCACUCCUUCGGGGAUGUAGUGUUCACGGAAGGCUGCUUUAAACUCAUCCCAGGUGACUUGAUGGUUGACAGGUUGAAUAGCCACGAAAUUUCCCCACCAGGUACUGGCAGGACCACGGAGUUGUUGUGCUGCAAAUAACGGCUUCUGCGUCUCUGAGCAACGGAGAAGACCAAACUUUUGCUCAAUAACCCGAAUCCACUCAUCAGCUUCUAGGGGAUCUUCUGCCUUGACGAAUAGAGGUGGACGGGUUUCCGAGAAAUCCAGAUAGGUAGUCUCACGAGGGCCUUGCGGAUAACCUCUUCCCGCCUGCUGCUGGAAUUGCUGCUGACCCGCCAUUUCCCUAAGGAAGCGGGUAUUGUCUGCGGUGGCAUUCACCAAGGCGGCAAUCGCCUCGGCUAACGUGGGAGGAACUGGAGGUGGGUUUGGGGUAACAUCCCGUCCCCCAGAAGUUCCUGCUGCAUCCUGUCCUCGAGUCCUGGUCGGCAUCUGUGGCAAAAACAUUUGAAGUAAACAUAAUGUGCCAGAGAAAACCUUCCAUUUUACAUUACUAUAAAAAGUAAUGAUACAGACUCGAUAUUACAUAACAGGAUACAAUACCCAUUAUACAAAAAUUCAACCUAUUAUACAACAGUACACCCUACAAUACCCUACUCUACUUUUACUUCUAUUACACCCUUAUUCCUGUUUUCCAUUAGUCUUGGCGGCCUCAUCGUCAGGUGUGGGAGUCCAGACAUCAACCAACCUCAAAGAAGGAGGGGGCUCAAAAAGGUCUAACUCCCCACCCAGCGCACGUCCCGCAACGUGAGAUGGUCCAGCUUCCGCCUCAGCAGGUUGUGCAGGCUCACUUGGGUGUAAUUGUGAGUAUAAUAUAUGGACUUCCUCGUGCAACGUAUUGCAGUAAACCUGCAGGUUAUCAACCGUUGAGCUAAGUUCUUUAAUUCGGGCCUGAGCCCUUGCUUCCUUAGCACACAUUAGCAAACGAGACUGCACGGCCCAGUCAAGUGCUAAGUCUCGAUCAGCGAGUUAAUCCUGCAAGUGUCGGAUGUCCCUUCUUAGUUCAUUGAUUCUAUCUCCGUCGGCGACCCAAGCAUCAGUCCUAUGUUGCAGCGCUGCUUGAAGUCGACUCACACGAGCUUCAAGGUCUCCGAUGGGGUCGUUACUUCCACUGCUGUUGCUUUCAUGUCGGGGAGCCAAUUGAUGCCGAGGCACCCCAAUUGGUCCCGUAGACUUGCGUGCCGUUAGCCUGGUGCGUGGCGGCAUCUUUUCUAAGGGGGAAAAUGUUAUUAGUAUAGUGCUUAGCAUGAUGCAUGUGUAAGUACAGAAUCAACCUUAGUCGAUUCAACCUUCUAUACAUUGCACUCUUCCUAUCUGGUCUUUAAGAUAGACUCUUCAGAAUACUUAGGUAAGAAGAGAAAAGAAUUUUUAGGUAAGACUUUUGAAAAUCAUUUUGAAGAUGCCUCAUAAUAUCUGCAAAGAAGGGCUACGCUCCGAUACCAGCUGUGACAGAACCUCCCAAGUAAUUAGGCCCACCUACAGUUGUCCUUGUCCAACGGACUUUAGACAACCCUGUAGGUGCCCCUGAACUACUUGACAAGUUCGGUAUCUUUCCUUACCUUACCAGGAACGUCUCACCCGUCUUGCAGACAUUACAGAACAUCGGAGAUAAAGAAAUGCGGAAGCAGUUACAUAAACUUACAUUUAUUUCAAAAGCAAGCUUGAGUUAUGUUAUUACAGACCAGACUAAAAGUGAGUGCAGAGAAGUAAUAUUAUACAAACCAAGGGAGGCACAAACUCCUCCCGACAAGCUAAAAGCAAAAGAUCCUAAGUGGAGGACCGAGUCCUCCCGCACUUCAGUCUUGUUUUUCCUCGUUUGGUACCACCUUGGAGCAAAAGCAACAAAAGUUUGUCGCUUCCUCACCUAAAA
rnacentral:lncRNA from 1 species